rnacentral:rRNA from 1 species
AGCGAACGCUGGCGGCAUGCUCAACACAUGCAAGUCGCACGGGCAGCUUCGGCUGUCAGUGGCGGACGGGUGAGUAACGCGUAGGUAUCUAUCCUCGGGUGGGGGACAACCACGGGAAACUGUGGCUAAUACCGCAUGACGACUGAGGUCCAAAGGCGCAAGUCGCCUGGGGAGGAGCCUGCGUCCGAUUAGCUUGUUGGUGGGGUAAAGGCCUACCAAGGCUCCGAUCGGUAGCUGGUCUGAGAGGAUGAUCAGCCACACUGGGACUGAGACACGGCCCAGACUCCUACGGGAGGCAGCAGUGGGGAAUAUUGGACAAUGGGCGAAAGCCUGAUCCAGCAAUGCCGCGUGGGUGAAGAAGGUCUUCGGAUUGUAAAGCCCUUUCGACGGGGACGAUGAUGACGGUACCCGUAGAAGAAGCCCCGGCUAACUUCGUGCCAGCCGCCGCAGUAAGAC